rnacentral:rRNA from 1 species
UGCGUAGGCAGCAAGCGUUGUUCGGAGUUACUGGGCGUAAAGGGUGCGUAGGCGGCUUUUUAAGUUUGGUGUGAAAUCUCCCGGCUCAACUGGGAGGGUGCGCCGAAUACUGAGAAGCUAGAGUGUGGGAGAGGAAAGUGGAAUUCCUGGUGUAGCGGUGAAAUGCGUAGAUAUCAGGAGGAACACCGGUGGUGUAAACGGCUUUCUGGACCAUAACUGACGCUGAGGCACGAAAGCGUGGGUAGCAAACAGG